GACGGAGGGUGCAAGCGUUGUUCGGAAUUACUGGGCGUAAAGCGCGUGUAGGCGGCUUGGUAAGUCGAGUGUGAAAGCCCGAGGCUCAACCUCGGAAGUGCAUUCGAAACUGCCUUGCUUGAGUACGGGAGAGGGAAGUGGAAUUCCUGGUGUAGAGGUGAAAUUCGUAGAUAUCAGGAGGAACACCGGUGGCGAAGGCGGCUUCCUGGACCGAUACUGACGCUGAGACGCGAAAGCGUGGGGAGCAAACAGG
rnacentral:rRNA from 1 species